rnacentral:rRNA from 1 species
AAUGAACGCUGGCGGCGUGCUUAACACAUGCAAGUCGUGCGCGAACGCAACUUCGGUUGUAAGUAGAGCGGCGAACGGGUGAGUAACGCGUGGACAACCUGCCUAGGAGUGGGGGAUAACUCAGGGAAACUUGAGCUAAUACCGCAUUCGCUCCCGGGACUUCGGUUCUGUGAGGAAAGAUGGCCUCUGCUUGCAAGCCAUCGCUCCUAGAGGGGUCCGCGUCUGAUUAGCUAGUUGGUGGGGUAAUGGCCCACCAAGGCUCCGAUCAGUAGCCGGCCUGAGAGGGUGAACGGCCACACUGGGACUGAGACACGGCCCAGACUCCUACGGGAGGCAGCAGUGGGGAAUAUUGGACAAUGGGCGCAAGCCUGAUCCAGCAACGCCGCGUGGAGGGUGAAGGUUCUCGGACUGUAAACUCCUGUCAGAGGGGACGAAAAGGUGGCGGUCAAUAUCCGCCGCCCUUGACGGUACCCUCAGAGGAAGCCCCGGCUAACUCCGUGCCAGCAGCCGCGGUAAUACGGGGGGGGCAAGCGUUAUUCGGAAUUAUUGGGCGUAAAGGGCGCGUAGGCGGCUUGUUAAGUCAAAGGUGAAAUCCCUCGGCUCAACCGAGGAACUGCCCUUGAUACUG